AAUGAUGAGCCUGAUUAAAGGGCUAUCGUGAUAGGAUAAAACAUGUAGCUAACCCUACCUUCAUUA
rnacentral:tRNA from 1 species